rnacentral:rRNA from 1 species
CACGUAGGGCGCAAGCGUUGUCCGGAAUUAUUGGGCGUAAAGAGCUCGUAGGUGGUUUGUUACGUCUGCUGUGAAAACCUAGGGCUCAACCCCGGACUUGCAGUGGGUACGGGCAGACUAGAGUGUGGUAGGGGAGACUGGAAUUCCUGGUGUAGCGGUGGAAUGCGCAGAUAUCAGGAGGAACACCGAUGGCGAAGGCAGGUCUCUGGGCCACUACUGACGCUGAGAAGCGAAAGCAUGGGGAGCGAACAGG